GGGGAUUUAGCUCAGUGGUAGAGCGCUUGCCUAGCAAGCACAAGGCCCUGAGUUCAGUCCCCA
rfam:Rattus norvegicus chromosome 3, whole genome shotgun sequence.